GAUGAACGCUGGCGGCGUGCCUAAUACAUGCAAGUCGAGCGAACGGACGAGAAGCUUGCUUCUCUGAUGUUAGCGGCGGACGGGUGAGUAACACGUGGAUAACCUACCUAUAAGACUGGGAUAACUUCGGGAAACCGGAGCUAAUACCGGAUAAUAUUUUGAACCGCAUGGUUCAAAAGUGAAAGACGGCCUUGCUGUCACUAAUAGAUGGAUCCGCGCUGCAUUAGCUAGUUGGUAAGGUAACGGCUUACCAAGGCAACGAUGCAUAGCCGACCUGAGAGGGUGAUCGGCCACACUGGAACUGAGACACGGUCCAGACUCCUACGGGAGGCAGCAGUAGGGAAUCUUCCGCAAUGGGCGAAAGCCUGACGGAGCAACGCCGCGUGAGUGAUGAAGGUCUUCGGAUCGUAAAGCUCUGUUAUUAGGGAAGAACAUAUGUGUAAGUAACUGUGCACAUCUUGACGGUACCUAAUCAGAAAGCCCCGGCUAACUACGUG
rnacentral:rRNA from 1 species